GUGCUUGCUUCGGCAACACAUAUACUAAAAUUGGAACAAUACAGAGAAGAUUAACUUGGCCCCUGCAUAAGGAUGACAUGCAAAUUUGUGAAGCGUUCCAUUAAAUG
ensembl:snRNA U6 U6 spliceosomal RNA